AGUGAACGCUGGCGGGAGACCUAACACAUGCAAGUCGAACGGCAGCACAGUAAGAGCUUGCUCUUACGGGUGGCGAGUGGCGGACGGGUGAGGAAUACAUCGGAAUCUACUUUUUCGUGGGGGAUAACGUAGGGAAACUUACGCUAAUACCGCAUACGACCUACGGGUGAAAGCAGGGGAUCUUCGGACCUUGCGCGAUUGAAUGAGCCGAUGUCGGAUUAGCUAGUUGGCGGGGUAAAGGCCCACCAAGGCGACGAUCCGUAGCUGGUCUGAGAGGAUGAUCAGCCACACUGGAACUGAGACACGGUCCAGACUCCUACGGGAGGCAGCAGUGGGGAAUAUUGGACAAUGGGCGCAAGCCUGAUCCAGCCAUACCGCGUGGGUGAAGAAGGCCUUCGGGUUGUAAAGCCCUUUUGUUGGGAAAGAAAAGCAGCAGGUUAAUACCCCGCUGUUCUGACGGUACCCAAAGAAUAAGCACCGGCUAACUUCGUG
rnacentral:rRNA from 1 species